CUGGUUCACAACUGCCAAUCGCGAUAGGCGCUCACAAGGCGUCUCCGCGAUUUGAGUGGUUGGCUAUGCCGUACUACGCCCUGGCUGCGGAGGCGGAAAUGCAAAAACCCGUUACUUAAGUUGCGUUGUCGCUGCAGCCGCUCAGUCGGCCGGGAGCUACUUCGCAGCCGCUCGCCUCGGCAGCGUGUCGGUGUUGGUGAUGGCGUUUGCUUGCGGACGCGUCUCACGCGCACAACAGCGGCCGCUGUGCCCCUGCUUAGGGGACUGGAACGAGGCGUGUCGGCAACAACCUUUUCCCGCUUACUCCGGCGAAAGCUAUCGAGAACAAAAAGCUCAAGACUGAUUAUGGGGGAUCACUUAGUCCUUAAAUCGAUGAAAAACAUAGUAAUUUGUGGAAAUUGAUAUGAGUUGUGAAAUUUUGUGAGCAUUGUGUUUUUGAAUGAACAUUUCAGCAUGAGCACUCCUGUUCUCAUGCUACAUUUGUUUCAGUAUAUAACAAAUACCAUGCGUAUUUACCAUUGCCGGGGAGCAAUGGUAGAAAUUGUGGUUUAAUCACGCGAGUGAUGCGACCCAUCAUCGCUGGCCGUUCUGGUCAGCGCCCAAGCAGUGUGUAUCUGAAAUCAAGUAGUAGUGUGACUACCCGCUGAACUUAAGCAUAUCAAUAAGCGGAGGAAUCGGCAUCUUGGUCAUUUAGAGGAAGUAAAAGUCGUAACAAGGUUUCCGUAGGUGAACCUGCGGAAGGAUCAUUAACGAGUUUUAAUUGUUAGGUUAGAGUUGAGCUGGUUAAUCUAAUUAAUAUGUGCUUACUCUAAUCGAAACAAGUCCACUCAUUACUUAACACUUGUGAACUUAUUCAUUACAAACAUUAUUAUUUGUUAUUGGAACGUUUGAUUAUUAAAAAGUUAAUA
rnacentral:misc_RNA from 1 species